UCUGGUGUCACGACUCAGUUUGUGCUUGUUUUUAGGUGAUGGACGAAUAUGGAAACGUCCUGUCCAGAUUCUGUGCACCUCUGAAGAAGAAGAGCUACUCGCAGGGGUCCAACGAGGACAUAGAGGAGUCUCGUAUCUGAGGACAGAGACGUAGGAGCAAAGUUUGAUCUAUUUCCUGGAGACGCGUCCUCGUCAGUUCACCGCUUUGCUUCACUGCGAAAUGUUGUAAAUGAAAUCCUUUGUUACAUUUUAUUUGCGUUUUCAUCGUGAAGUUGGUCAUUGUGUCGGAGGCUUUUUAACCCUUUGAAACCUGGAGGGCUUUUCUUGUGCUGCUUUCAGACGCCUUUGACAAGUACUAUUUCUUUGAAUUGACGGAAAUUAAUAAGAUUUAUAAUUUUUUA